UCGGUGCUCGCACCGGUUACCCGUCCUUUUGUCAUAAGAUACUCGCCCUGCGGCCUCUGGCCGUGGAGGCGGGGGUGGUCAUUUCCGCCGAAGCGUCGCGCCCUCUUAGGUGCGUGACCGCGGCGGGCCAAUCUUUACAAACUCUGUGCAAGCAAACUGAAGUCUGAAAUUGUACACAAUUGAAAAAAGCAAAACUUUCAACAACGGAUCUCUUGGCUCUGGCAACGAUGAAGAACGCAGCGAAACGCGAAAGGUAAUGCGAAUUGCAGAAUCAGUGAGUCAUCGAAUCUUUGAACGCACAUUGCGCCUCUCGGUAUUCCGGGAGGCACGCCUGUUCGAGCGCCAUUACACACUCCAAGCUCUGCUUGAUGUUGGACGACGCGGCGCCCCUUUUGGGGUGCUGCCCGUCUGGAACGCGUGGGCGCCCGCCGCCAGACCACGAGCGUAGCAAGACGUCAGUCAAUUUCGCUGUGUGGGUUCUGACGGAGGGUCCGCCAUAACCAUUUCUAUUCACGAGUUUGGCCUCGGAUCAGGUGGGGAUACCCGCUGAACUUAAGCAUAUC
rnacentral:rRNA from 1 species